GAGGUGUGGGUGUGCCCUGGGCUGGCUCUGCCUCCGCCAUGGAUCUCGGCCAUGCAGCCUUCACAAAGGAUCAGAACCUGGAAUCUGGGAGACCUCAUGAACCUCAUUCCCAUGAGACUUGGCCCCCAAGCAGCAGGCAGCAGAGAAGUGCAGGGCAGAGGAAAGAAUUUGCCUUUUGUGAAAGGUGGUGGCUCCCCUUCCCUGAGAUUAAACUGGAUCCUUAUUUACAAAGGAGGAGCAAUGUGUGAAGUAGCAGAGUGAGUCUCUGCACGCACGCUUGACCUGGAAAGACCUACUGAGGCUGGAGAUCGUGCUCCAGGAGCUAUCCUCACCCAGCUCAGCAUUCUGGUGUCUCAUUUGUGAUCCAGGAACACUGAGUCAUUAGACUGGGACCAUCACAUCAUCUGUGGUGCCCAGCACCACUCAGACCAGUAAAUAGAGCCCUGGUACUCAAAUAAGCUUUAACCAGGGUGACCUGCAGCCUGCACAGAUGCAUCACAGACAUUGGCAUAAACACAUAUGGCUGCAAGCGGCCAUGCUCUAAGUGCUAUGGCACAAUAACCAAGUCCCACAUUGUCCAGAUACAUUGUUCUCUCCCCAGGGGGCAAUCUUCUCUCACCCUCUAU